rnacentral:rRNA from 1 species
UACGAAGGGGGCUAGCGUUGUUCGGAAUCACUGGGCGUAAAGGGCGCGUAGGCGGCUUUGUAAGUCGGGGGUGAAAGCCUGUGGCUCAACCACAGAAUUGCCUUCGAUACUGCAUGGCUUGAGACCGGAAGAGGUUAGUGGAGCUGCGAGUGUAGAGGUGAAAUUCGUAGAUAUUCGCAAGAACACCAGUGGCGAAGGCGGCUGACUGGUCCGGUUCUGACGCUGAGGCGCGAAAGCGUGGGGAGCAAACAGG